AACGAACGCUGGCGGCGUGCCUAACACAUGCAAGUCGAACGAGAUCUUCGGGUCUAGUGGCGCACGGGUGCGUAACGCAUGGGAAUCUGCCCUUUGGUUCGGAAUAACAGUUGGAAACGACUGCUAAUACCGGAUGAUGACGAGAGUCCAAAGAUUUAUCGCCAGAGGAUGAGCCCGCGUAGGAUUAGCUAGUUGGUGUGGUAAAGGCGCACCAAGGCGACGAUCCUUAGCUGGUCUGAGAGGAUGAUCAGCCACACUGGGACUGAGACACGGCCCAGACUCCUACGGGAGGCAGCAGUGGGGAAUAUUGGACAAUGGGCGAAAGCCUGAUCCAGCAAUGCCGCGUGAGUGAUGAAGGCCUUAGGGUUGUAAAGCUCUUUUACCCGGGAUGAUAAUGACAGUACCGGGAGAAUAAGCUCCGGCUAACUCCGUGCCAGCCGCCGCCGUAA
rnacentral:rRNA from 1 species